rnacentral:rRNA from 1 species
AUGAAGACCGGGUCGACGCAGAGCUUGGUGAGAGCGAUAGCGCCUGCUCGUUCUGCCUCAAGCUCCACCUCUGCCACGAGGUGCUUCUCAUCCAUGACGAGGCGGAACGACUACCGCAAACCUAGGGUAGAUCCCCUCCACUUCCGGCCUCCUUACACCUCGUCUCCUCUCCCAAUCCACGAGUGUGUGAAGCCCCGAGCGCUGCAGCCGGCCGGCCAGGCCUCCUCGCGACCUCCGCCACCGCCACCGCCACCCUCGCCCCUCCCCUCACCAGAAGACGACGAGAAGAGAAUAGGCCAGGCGGUGGCUCCCAAUCCCAGAUCCGUCAAGGGCUUGGAACUAGAGCUCCAUGUCCAUAGCCGAGGGCUUGGACCUGAAGCUCCACAUCCAUGGCCGAGGGCUAGGACCUGGAGCUCCACCUCCAUGGCGUCGGCUGCAUCUCCCCAAUCGCGAGCUCGCGCACCUGGACACGACCUUCGUCCGUCCGUCUGCUUCCGCUCCGCUCGGCCGACGACGCCAUGGCCGCCAAGUGCACAGACGCAGGCGCACACACACAGCAGCGUUGCUAACUUGUUGCGUGAGGCAGCCGGUGAGGAUAAGUAUGAUUUUGUAGUUGAAAAGAAUGAUAAGCUGGAGGAGCAGAUGGCUUCUAUUUCUAGAUCCUUCUUGUCUUUGAAGGAGCAAUUUCUGUUGGCAGAGAAGCUGAAGAGUGGUGGAAUAGAGGAGGUGGGUGUGGGUCAGAACAUGAGUGUACCUUUAGUGACCGCACCUCCUUCUUUAAAUUACUAUGAUUCUGAACCACAUUCUCGUAGGUGUCCUGUAAUUCAACAAUGCAAAGGUCAUAUAUUUACUUGCAGAUAUAUGUUGGAUGUUCCUGCAGAGCUAUGGACCAUUCUAUUCUCUGUGACCCCGACGACGGAGGCUGCCAGGACGGAGCCGGUGGCUCCGGCCAUCGAAGGGAAGUCAGAUGGCGACUGGGUCACUGAUGCACUUCCUCUGUUGCCGGAUGGCAUACACCAGGUUGAUGAUCCUAAACAGCCUGGGAGAGUGAAUGCUUCAAUGCUCAUCACAUACAUAUUGCAAGUAAUUCUGAACAUCUUUGUAGCUUGCAAGAACAUAUUUGAACGCGGCCCGGUGGGCAUUGUGCUCUUCAACCACUUGGAGGCGGACUUUGCCGUGAAGCCCGGUGGCCACGUCGAACAGAUGCUCGUCCAGGUGAUUUUGACACCGGAGGUCUCCGAGGUGGAGGUCCUUGACGCCACCGUCCGGGGGAGGGAGGAUUCAGCUCGGGCGCGGACGGGAAGUGGCCGUGCACACGGUGUGAAGACCCAGACCGGGGGAGGCGAUGUGAGGGUGCCUAGGGAAGCACAAAUGCGCUUCUCGGAGAAGCACAUGCUGUGCUCCUCGCCCAAAUGUGUUGCUUUCAGAAGAAAAAAAAUAUGCCAAAAUAAAGAGGAAGCCAAGCAAAAGCCCAAAAACCAUGGUUCCUGUCCGACCUCUAUAAGUACCACGCGAGAGCCGUCCUCGUACACCUCCGCCGCCGCACCAAGCAGAUACCGAGACCCAGUCCGCCUGCUGCGCCGCCGCCACCUCCGCGAUGAGGGCCAAGUGGAAGAAGAAGAGGAUGAGGAGGCUCAAGAGGAAGCGCCGAAAGAUGAGGCAGCGAUCCAAAGAUAUAUGUGCAAUCUUUCUACACAUUUUUACAAGGGGCACAUAGUGCUCGAGGACGCAUACCAAACAUGCUCCGAGUCGCAAGGACGAGGUCCACCGGGUCAGAAGUCGGAGUCCGAGAUCCACCUUGUUGCCGGCUUGCCACCCCCUUCGAGCCAGGGAGGGAUUCGACUGGAAAAGGAAGUUCCAACCGAGGCCUUAGCAUCCAGGUUGCAGCCGACGCUCGCACCAGCAUCAGAGUUCGAGGGCUUGGGCCAGGAUAAUCUCGUGCAUGACUGGAUUCAAGCCGGGCAAGCCGUCCACUCUCGAGGACACAUACCAAACGUCCUCCGGACAACAUCCACACCUUGUGACCAGGAACCAAACCAAACAGCCUCAAGAAUCAUCAUUGUUUGA